rnacentral:lncRNA from 7 species
GUCUGCUGUGUUUUUCCAGUACCUUUUUAGGAGAUAAUAGUUACUGUUACCUGCCAUACUUCUCCAGUUUUGAAGUGAUAACUGGUAGCAUCAUUUCUCUAUAUCCUCCUACCAAAGGGAGAAAUGCCAGUUUGUGUCAGAAGGAAGGUGACUGGAAGGCAGUCAGACCGGGGGACCUUAGCAGACUGUGGUAUUUUACAGAGCCUUGGAGAUGACAAAGCAGCUGCUUCCCCUGUGCUUGACUGAACACUUUCUCCACAUGCCACUGGCCAGCUCCAAAGAAAAUGUCUGAAUUUGGAGAGAGAGAUCUAUCUCAUCCUCUAUUCAGUUUGUGUAAUUUCUGUGUACCUGAACCAUUCCUUAGGACUGUGUUCAGCUCAUGGUAGCUGAGAGCACUCUUCAGGAGCUGUGGAGAGCACUCUCCCUUCUUGAUCACCUGUUGACUGCUACAAUGGCCAUUGUUUCUCUUAGGAGUUUUUGAUUGCGUUUUCUGAAGGAAUCAAAUUUUGCUCGUGCUAUGUUAACUACAUAUGAGAAUCAGUCUUUUCAAAAGUGUGGCACAAGAAAGCUUAAUGCCCUGGCUCUGGUGUCCCUGAUGUGGGAAAAAGCUCAAACUGCUCCUGCUGAGCAGCACCAGAGGACUAGAUUUAGGUAGGAAGUUGCCCUGUGAUUGUAAUUGUGUCCAGGGUUAAACAGUAGCUGAGAUUUAUGCAUUGUUUUGUUGGUGGCCUGUCAGUUGUGCCUUAGCCUCAUGUUAGUUGCCCGAGUCCUUUAGUGGAUGUAGUUUUUAGUAAUAUUCGCAACACACAGAUUUAUAGUCGCAUUUAUUCCGGAGGAAUCUAAUCACAGCAUUGCUUUAGCAAAUGUAGCUGUAUCAGAGGCAAACAGUGCGUGAAUUAUGUGUCUCAGCAGGAUUGAUUGUGCCCUUAGGAGCUAUCAGCAGCACCCAGAGAACAAUUACCUUCUCCUGCUCGCAAUAAUGAAGUACAAUUUAGAAACAGAAAAUCAUUAUGUAAAACUUUGAGAAAUGACACAAUUACAGUACAUUACACAUACUUUUGUCAUAGGCUUUGCUUAUUACAUAACAUCUAAAUUUCUUCUGAGAGAGAAUUCUGUUGUACUGGUUUCAUGCUGCAAUGCAUUUUGCCUUUCUGUUAAAUCACAAAAGAGAGGUUUUUAGGGCUGAAAAUACAUACAUCCAGAAAAUUCAAAGAACUUGCUUAUAAAGGGAAGUAGUACUUGAAAUAAUAAGUUAUCACAUUAAUUUCUGAUUGACUAAUAGGAUGUGACCUGCUCAUUUGCUAGUAUCUAUUUCAUAUUUUGCAACGAAAUAUAACUCAAAGAAAUGAACACAAGCACUGUCCUUCUGAGGUUAUCCAUCCUGUAUUGUUGGUCUGAUUUUUCUGGCAGUUGCUUACAGAUUUGAACUUGAGCACUGAGAAUUUUUUCUUUAUUUUCUUCUGCAUAAUAUUUGAUCUGUGUGUUGCUUUCAGCUGACGUAUGGCAGAAGCUGUGUGGUUCAAACAACACAGGGUUCAAAAACAAAGGGUUAUAUCAGCCUGGUUUGUAGAGUAUCCAGUGCCAAGGGCAGUCCCAAAGCAGUGCUCUGUCCAGUGCCUGAGAUGUGGGACUGGGACUGUGCCACCCAGCAUGGAGGGAGGAUGGGUCAGCAGGCGGCACCCUAAUGGUCCAGAUAGGUUUGUAAGCUCUCCUGUCUCAUCUACAGAUAGUGUGACUCUGGGAGGAGUGCUGGGAGAAAAUGCUAACAUGGGAUUUCUGAAAAACUCAGUAAUGCUCCUAAAUCUCAUGGACUUCUAUCU